rnacentral:rRNA from 1 species
UACGUAGGGUGCGAGCGUUGUCCGGAAUUAUUGGGCGUAAAGGGUGCGUAGGCGGUUUGGUAAGUCUCUUGUGAAAUCUAUGGGCUCAACUCAUAGUCUGCAAGGGAAACUGCCGGGCUUGAGUGUGGGAGAGGUGAGUGGAAUUUCCGGUGUAGCGGUGAAAUGCGUAGAUAUCGGAAGGAACACCUGUGGCGAAAGCGGCUCACUGGACCACAACUGACGCUGAUGCACGAAAGCUAGGGGAGCAAACAGG